rnacentral:rRNA from 1 species
GACGAACGCUGGCGGCGUGCUUAACACAUGCAAGUCGAGCGGAGCGGCGAACGGGUGAGUAACGCGUGAGUAACUGCCCCCCUCUCCGGGAUAACCGUUGGAAACGGCUGCUAAUACAGGAUAGUGGGGGAUGACUCGCGUCCUAUCAGCUUGUUGGUGGGGUAGGGGCCUACCAAGCGGACGACGAGUAGCCGGCCUGAGAGGGCGACCGGCAACAUUGGGCUGAGAUACGGGCGGAACUCCUACGGGAGGCAGCAGAGCGGAAUAUUGCACGAUGGGGGAAACCCUUAUGCAGAAACGCCGCGUGCGGGAUGACGGACUUCUGUUUGUAAACCUCUAUGUGCCAUAACGCGGUAGUGGCAGAAGAAGCACCGGCUAACUACGUGCCAGCAGCCGCGGUAAUAC